UCUCUUUCUCUUCUUCUUCUUCUUUCAUACCCUAAUUGUGCUUCUUUUAAUUUUAUCAUUUUCACUACUCAUGUUGUCCACUCAAGUUAGUGCAGAUAUUUCAAGAAAGCUUGGGGAACUAUCACUCGCACCUCCUCCACCUUGUCCAAACACAGGACACAUCCCUUGUUAGAAAAAAAAAGUUUAAUUACUCGGAUAGUACCCACUUUAGUAGGAAUGUGCCAAUUUAAUUGGUAUCUGUGAAAAAAAAAA